rnacentral:rRNA from 1 species
CCUACGGGAGGCAGCAGUGAGGAAUAUUGGUCAAUGGACGCGAGUCUGAACCAGCCAAGUAGCGUGAAGGAUGACUGCCCUAUGGGUUGUAAACUUCUUUUAUAUGGGAAUAAAAUGUUCCACGUGUGGGAUUUUGUAUGUACCUUAUGAAUAAGGAUCGGCUAACUCCGUGCCAGCAGCCGCGGUAAUACGGAGGAUCCGAGCGUUAUCCGGAUUUAUUGGGUUUAAAGGGAGCGUAGGUGGGUUGUUAAGUCAGUUGUGAAAGUUUGCGGCUCAACCGUAAAAUUGCAGUUGAAACUGGCAGUCUUGAGUACAGUAGAGGUGGGCGGAAUUCGUGGUGUAGCGGUGAAAUGCUUAGAUAUCACGAAGAACUCCGAUUGCGAAGGCAGUUCACUGGACUGCAACUGACACUGAGGCUCGAAAGUGUGGGUAUCAAACAGGAUUAGAUACCCCUGUAGUC